rnacentral:rRNA from 1 species
AAUCAACGCUGGCGGCGUGCUUCAGACAUGCAAGUCGAACGCGAAAGCUCCCUUCGGGGAGCAAGUAGAGUGGCGCACGGGUGAGUAACACGUAGGUAAUCUACCUUUGGAUGGGGAAUAACAACCGGAAACGGUUGCUAAUACCGCAUAAUGCAGCGGCACCUAAUGGUGACAGUUGUUAAAGCGGGGGAUCGCAAGACCUCGCGUCUGAAGAGGAGCCUGCGGCAGAUUAGCUAGUUGGUAAGGUAACGGCUUACCAAGGCGAUGAUCUGUAGCCGGCCUGAGAGGGCGGUCGGCCACACUGACACUGACAUACGGGUCAGACUCCUACGGGAGGCAGCAGUCGGGAAUUUUGGGCAAUGGGCGAAAGCCUGACCCAGCAACGCCGCGUGAAGGAUGAAAUCCCUCGGGAUGUAAACUUCGCAAGAACGGGAAGAAUAAGUCGGUGUAAACACCACCGACGAUGACGGUACUGUUUGUAAGCUCCGGCUAACUCCGUGCCAGC